GAUGAACGCUGGCGGCGUGCCUAAUACAUGCAAGUCGAGCGAACAGAUGAGGAGGUUGCUCCUCGGACGGUAGCGGCGGACGGAUGACUAGCACAUGGAUAACCUAACUAUAAGACUGGUAUAACUUCGGGAAACCGGUGCUAAUACCGGAUAAUAUCUUCAACGGGGUGGUUGAAUAGUUAAAGAGGGUUUUGCUGUCACUUAUACAUGUAACCGCGCCGCAUUAGCUAGUUGGUAAGGUAACGGCUUACCAAGGCAACGAUGGGUAGCCGACCGGAGAGCGUGAUCGCGCACACUGGAGCUGAGACACGGUACAGACUCCUACGGGAGGCAGCAGUAGCGACUCUUCCGAAAUGGGCGAAAGCCUGAAGGAGCAACGCCGCGUGAGUGAUGAAGGUCUGCGGACCGUAAGACUCUGUUAUUGGGGAAGAACAAAUGUGUAAGGAACUAUGCACGUCUUGACGGUACCUAAUCAGAAAGCCACGGCUAACUACGUG
rnacentral:rRNA from 1 species